GAUGAACACUAGCGGUAGGCCUAACACAUGCAAGCCGAGCGGUAUUUGAUCUUCGGCACAGAGAGAGCGGCGCACGGGUGCGGAACACGUGUGCAACCUGCCUUUUUCUGGGGGUUAGCCUUUCGAAAGGAAGAUUAAUACCCCAUAUUAUAUUGAGUGCCAUCAUUUGAUAUCGAAAACUCCGGUGGCUAGAGAUGGGUACGCGCAAGAUUAGAUAGUUGGUGAGGUAACGGCUCACCAAGUCAAUGAUCUUUAGGGGGCAUGAGAGGGUGAUCCCCCACAAUGGUACUGAGACACGGACCAGACUCCGACGGAAGGCAGCAGUGAGGUAGAUUAGACGAUGAGUUAGCGCCUGAUCCAGCCAUCCCGCGUGAAGAAGGACGGCCGUAGGAGUUGUAAACUUCUUUUGUAGAGAGAUAAACCUACUCUCGUGAGAGUAGCUGAAGGUACUAAACGAAUAAGCACCGGCUAACUCCGUG
rnacentral:rRNA from 1 species